CACCCACCAGCUCAGGGUGGGCUCUCUGUCUGCCUUUCCUGGAGUUAAGAAUAGUGACGGGAUUUAUCAGCAUUAAAAUCUGGGGCUCCUGGUACGAUGACUUCAAUCAUGUGAUUAGGAAAGAUCACAAUUUAUUACUGGUCAAAAAAGCUAAUAAAAUAUGAACGUGAGUGUAUAGGUGUGUACAUUAACUUGCUGUCUUGAACAUGAGGAAGGCAAAUGGACUCCUUUUUAAACUUUCUUCUAACUAUCAUUUUAUUGUUCAACCUUGUUUCCUCCAGUCAGCUCCUUGAAGUCUGAGAACUCAGCUUGGGGAAGGGAAGAGCUGGCUGCCUUGCUCUUAAUGAAGACAACGUGACAACACUGUCCUGAGCUCAGCAGUGCCUUUAGGAAAGAGUCUCCAGGUGUUUGCCUGCAGGAAGUCAUAAAGUCAAUGCAAAUCGAGACACAGUCUCCACAGGCAGAACAGAACUUCCCUACACAGGGUGCUCUGGCUGUCACUGUUACCAUCUUUGUUACCUUAACGAUCAUUUAUUGAUAAUGGCACUUGAAGAAAGAGCCCUUGAGUAGGUAUUAGAUUUUAGUUACCUGGUGUAUCAGCCAAGAACAGAAGGUUGUCCUCAUAGUAUUGACUCUGCCCGGUUUGCCUCACAUGAAAAUAUCUACCUUAAACUAGAAAUGAAAGAAAAGCUAGGUCUUUUCAACGCUGCUUUCCUCAUUCCUGCCAAAGUGUUUAUUGAAUCCCUAACUAAAACCAUUUGUGCUCUUGAACUUUCCUCCUGGAAAAAAAAAAUAGUGAUUAUUGUUUCUUUCUCAGAGGGACACAAAGAGGGAUUACCACAGGAAAUCCAGAGAGGCUUUAGAAGAUGAGCUUGUGUUGAGAUAGAAGCCAGAAGCCCACUUAGCCAACGGCCUCCAUAGGACCUGGCACGGAGGGAAUUUCUUCAGCAGUAACUAAAGUCAAUGAAGAAAGUAAAGGACUUGCAAAAGUUUCCUAGCUGAUUCUGCCAACUGAAAUAGUUUUAUUAUGCUGUUCUUGUGGACAGAAUGAGUCUCAAAACUGAAAUCAAUUCAAUAAUUGUCCAAAUCCAUCUGAGGCCCUGUGUCUGUAUAAACUAAUUUCCAUGGCUGCUCCCCCAUGUAAGACUUUGCCAUUCUCUGCCUCCAAAAGGACUUGGAUCUAGGAUGACCAUAGCAUCAG